UACAGAGGUCCCAAGCGUUGUUCGGAUUCACUGGGCGUAAAGGGUGCGCAGGUGGUGAGGUAAGUCGGAUGUGAAAUCUCCGAGCUCAACUCGGAAAUGGCAUUGGAAACUACCUUGCUCGAGGGUUGGAGGGGGGACUGGAAUACUUGGUGUAGCAGUGAAAUGCGUAGAUAUCAAGUGGAACACCAGUGGCGAAGGCGAGUCCCUGGACAACUCCUGACACUGAGGCACGAAAGCUAGGGGAGCAAACAGG
rnacentral:rRNA from 1 species